rnacentral:rRNA from 1 species
UACGUAGGGUGCAAGCGUUUGUCCGGAAUUAUUGGGCGUAAAGGGCUCGUAGGCGGUCCAUCACGUCGGGGAGUGAAAAGCUGGGGCUUAACCCCAGUCCUGCUUCCGAUACGGGUGGACUAGAGGUAGGCAGGGGAGAACGGAAUUCCUGGUGUAGCGGUGAAAUGCGCAGAUAUCAGGAGGAACACCGGUGGCGAAGGCGGUUCUCUGGGCAUUAACUGACGCUGAGGAGCGAAAAGCAUGGGGAGCGAACAGG